rnacentral:rRNA from 1 species
GACGAACGCUGGCGGCGUGCUUAACACAUGCAAGUCGAACGGAAAGGCCCUGCUUUUGUGGGGUGCUCGAGUGGCGAACGGGUGAGUAACACGUGAGUAACCUGCCCUUGACUUUGGGAUAACUUCAGGAAACUGGGGCUAAUACCGGAUAGGAGCUCCUGCUGCAUGGUGGGGGUUGGAAAGUUUCGGCGGUUGGGGAUGGACUCGCGGCCUAUCAGCUUGUUGGUGGGGUAGUGGCUUACCAAGGCUUUGACGGGUAGCCGGCCUGAGAGGGUGACCGGCCACAUUGGGACUGAGAUACGGCCCAGACUCCUACGGGAGGCAGCAGUGGGGAAUAUUGCACAAUGGGCGGAAGCCUGAUGCAGCAACGCCGCGUGCGGGAUGACGGCCUUCGGGUUGUAAACCGCUUUCGCCUGUGACGAAGCGUGAGUGGCGGUAAUGGGUAAAGAAGCACCGGCUAACUACGUG